GAGCUUUGCAUACUUAAGUGAGACUGGUCCUUGGAGAAGAUGGAGCAGGUUCCGAAGGUCCGGGGCUACUGGCGGUUCGAGCGGUUCAGCUCAGAAGACGACUGAAGUCAGCCGAAGGAUGAGCCAGGAGUUGCAGCACUCGGGCCCGAAGCAAAGCCAGCGCCUGUGGAUCCUGUGGAUGCUCGUUUGGGUACUUCUUUGGUCUCACUCAAAAACUCUGGCACAGAGGAUGACCUGGGCCUGCUGGGUUGCGUUCAGAGGUGACUUUGAAAUCACGCAGAAAACUCAGAAAAACGAGGCUCGAAGAGCAGAGAAAACUUUCAAAAAUGGCUUCGCAAAAUUAAAGAAAAAUCAAUCAAAGGCUUAAUCUUGAAUUGCUAUGCGCACAAAAAGUUGAAGUUUCAAAACUUGAACUAAGACGAUGUUAAAGAAAAAUCAACGUGAAUCAACACGUGGCGUAAAACUUAGAAGACUAAGAAAAAGUUCUAAGAGAAAAUAAAGAAACGCACCACAGAAGGGUGUGGACAGAAGAGAAGGGGCAUAAGAGCCGGGGACAAGAGAGUCAGCAGAAGAGCAGAAGCAUAAGAGGAAUAAGAGUAAAAAAGAGGAGCGUAAGAGAGAUAAGAGCGAGUAAGAGGAAUAAGAGAGCGAGCAACCCCACUUCACUGGUUUUAUCUUCUCACACUGGGUGUGUCUCCGGCGUGUGGGUGUGAGGAGAAAGAGGAGGAGGGGUUGUGUGGUCUCCAAGCAGAGAUGAACUCGGAUCUCUGAUUAUUUGAUCUAACUUAUUCUUUUGGCUGGUAAAAGAGUCAGAUCUGAUACUCACUCACUAUGAUUAAUAUCAUUGAAUGCUAGGUUUCAU